AAAAGGUACUCCGGGGAUAACAGGCUGAUACCGCCCAAGAGUUCAUAUCGACGGCGGUGUUUGGCACCUCGAUGUCGGCUCAUCACAUCCUGGGGCUGAAGUAGGUCCCAAGGGUAUGGCUGUUCGCCAUUUAAAGUGGUACGCGAGCUGGGUUUAGAACGUCGUGAGACAGUUCGGUCCCUAUCUGCCGUGGGCGCUGGAGAACUGAGGGGGGCUGCUCCUAGUACGAGAGGACCGGAGUGGACGCAUCACUGGUGUUCGGGUUGUCAUGCCAAUGGCACUGCCCGGUAGCUAAAUGCGGAAGAGAUAAGUGCUGAAAGCAUCUAAGCACGAAACUUGCCCCGAGAUGAGUUCUCCCUGAGACUUUAAGUCUCCUGAAGGAACGUUGAAGACGACGACGUUGAUAGGCCGGGUGUGUAAGCGCAGCGAUGCGUUGAGCUAACCGGUACUAAUGAACCGUGAGGCUUAACCUUACAACGCCGAAGGUGUUU
rnacentral:rRNA from 1 species